ACACUUACUGGCAGGGAAGAUACCACGAUCACGAAUGUGGUUUUCCUAGGACGAGGCUUAUCCAUUGCACUCUGGAUGUGCUGACCCCUGCGAUUUCCCCAAAUGUGGGAAACUCGACUGCAUAAUAUGUGAUAGUCGGGGACUGCAUUCGUGCGCUCCCCUG